AUUUUUUUUUUGGCAAAAAUCAUAAGAAUCCAAGAUGGCAGAUCCAAGAUGAGGGACCCGAGAAGAUGGCGGAAAUUCUUACCAAAAAAGGAUUAUAAACGUUUUUAUGGCCUUUUUGCAUUGUGAAGCCGUUAAAAGGUUUAUUCUGACAUAUCUCAAUGAUGUAAGAUGAUUUAAACCUUAUAUUUGAUAAUAUAGGCAAAAUUUGAAAUAAUAGCUUAAGAUUGUAUUCAUCUUUAUCUGUACUCUAUAUCAACCCCGCGGAAAAUAUUAUCAUCCAUAUAGCAGAUUUUACUGUUGGAUGAUUGAAAAUGUAAUUCAAGUUCGAAAAUUAAAAGUACACCACCAAUUUUUUUCGGCAGUAAAAGAUUCGUAGCACUAACCCAGAGACUUAAACUAUCGGCUCAUUCCUUUGGAGUCUCCUCAGCUGGUGCCUCAUCUUGCGCAGGCGCGGUAUCUUGUUCUACUGGGGCCUCGCUUGCAGGCUGGUCUUUCGGAGCGUCUGGCCCAGUGUCUGCUGGUGGGCCGCCAUCUUCUGCUGGUUGGUUUUCUGUGAAGCAAACGAAGGAAUGAAGUCAGUGCCUCAUCAACGGAUGGCAUCAAGAUGAUGACAAGGACCCUGACUAUUUGGUCCUUUAUGUGUUGAUUUGUAGCUUGCUUUCUUUCGCUUCUCCCCCACCCCCCUUAAGAAUUGUUUGCCAAACAGUUUACGGCUCCUCUGAUAUUGAAGCUUGAAGAUAACGUCACAGAAACUGAAAUAAAAUCAUUCAAAAAAAUCUGUGAGAAGCGCACUUUCUGAAAUACAACAUUUAGUUCUAUUUACUUUUAUUACAGCCUCACGAAUAUCACCAAUAUCUUGAUAUGAUGUAUUUUCGGCGGCAAACAGGCCUCAAAAUUUUAUUUUUGUCAAUCGAAAACUAUUCUAUCAAAAAUAGUUUUAGCGAAGAAAAACAAAAAGUUUAUUUCUUUUCAUAAACAGCACGACUAAACUAUUAUGUAUGACCAUGCGCGCAGAUGCUGACCAACAUCCGACGAUUGCAGGCUCUUCUUAGGGGAAACCACUAUAACUGUGUUACCCUUAUUUUUGUCAUUCCACGCCAUUAUGUAUAUUCUACUUUUUUCUCCCCUUUAGAUCCUCUCUCCACUGACAACAAUCCCCCCCUUUUUUUCAUCCACCCACCCUAGAUGCCAUGGUACGAAGACCCGCUUUUAACCAAAAACGCAUCACUAUCCCGGACACUCCUUAUAGUCCAACUUCUACACUUACUGUAGCAUUAUCCCCAUAUUUACCCUCCAGUCCUUACCCCUGCCACGCACCUCUACCCGUAUCACAACCAUUAUCCCCCUAUAUGUCCCCCUUCUCCCCAGGUGCCAUGGUACGAAUACCCGCUUUUAACCAAAACCCCAUAUCGCGUGAUUUAGACCUGCAAAGAUGUCUGGUUCUGUUUUUCUCUUGCUCGUAAUCCUAUGCACGUCUUCAGAAUGUCUAAAUGGUUAAAUUAAGUGUAUUUUUUUCUUCUUUCCUUCUUUCGUUUUUAGAGCAAGCUACCAACAUACUGACAGCAAUGUUUCAUUUAUAGAAUUUAUGUGAUUAUGAUGACUUGGGAGGCACAAUUCUAAUUGAAGCAGAUGAAUUGCAAAUUUCAUAUGGAAUAAAAGAAUGGACUACCUUAAUGACUUUCACCUCGUAAUUAUGCUGAAAACUGACACAAAACAAGUAAAGUUAAAGGUGCUUUCCAAUUUUGCCAGUAUAGACGUUAACAAAUAAUGAAAUUAUUAGUAUCUGUGCACAACAUGGUGGCAUCAUUUGUGUGGUUUUAUUACUCGAUAUUCCAUAAUAAUGAAGUAUUCAAUAUUCACGAGAAGUAUCUAAGUGUUCAUUUAGGCGACAAUAUCUUCAAAAAUAUUUGUCCGAUUUCUGGGAAAUGAAAGGGUUGUUUAGAGGAGGGUAUGAUGAUUGUAUGUGAUUCAGAACAACUUGUGCUUGAUAUGAAACCGCGAACAGUUCCACCAACAAUCAUACACUAGAAAAUUGAUACCACAUACCACAAACAAUUCAAGAUCUUUCUCCGAUUUUCCUAUAAAUGGCACCCAUAAAAGUGAUCACAAUAUGGGGGUAGUGGUUUUAUUUCCCAGAUACCUACCUGGUAUAUUCAGUGCAAGCAUUUCUAGUGGUACAAUCUUUGGUUUAAUUUAGAGCCAAGCGGGAACGAUAUGUAAGUACCCAUUAUAUUGUUCAUCAGGCUUAGUGUCCGUUGGUGGGUCAUAUACGUUUUCGUAUGCGAGAUUAUCAUCUACAAUGUACAAUCUACGAGUUUAUUACAAAUCUUCUGGAAAUGCAACAGCUAGAGAGAUCUAUUUUACAGGAACGCCCACUCUAGGUUAGAGAGCAUGAGGCUCUAACAAUUUGGUCUUUAUGCCUUGACUGCAUGUAGCUUGUUUAGGAUAAUUAUGCAAUUUAUGUUCUACUUUAUUCCAUGAUUAGAGUUCAAAUAUUAUUGUAAGCUCUACCAGGGCCACAAAGGCACAUUUAUGCAUGUAUCUUUUCUCCCACGCGCUUUUGAGGUAAAAUUCCUAAUUUUAGAUUCAAUUAAUUAUAUUUCACUUUACGAUCGUUUUACAAUAAAAUCACCAUAAUCAUCGAUUUGGUUUUCCGUGGUUUUCCGUAUUUUCGACCCGUAAAAUUCGCCGCUCAAUUUUCCCAACUUUGGCUGGCCCAGUGGCAUAUAAAGUUUGGAACUCCUUCCCAGGCCGCUCGCGCUGGUCAUAGUUACACCGUAGUUGUAAAUAAGUUUAUCCGAACGGAAAAGUACGGAUUUCUAUCAUAGUAUCCAAUCAUAAACUAUAGAAGAAAGACUGCCAUAGUGCAGAGCUCCAGACAGUCGCACUCAAAUAACGGAGAUAUCAUUCUCGAAAUAUGAUGUUUUGUCCAUAUCGGCCACGGUAUAUAACCAUAGUCGGGUCGCCUAUGGCUAGCCCCACUAAACCCCAUACUUGAAGCCGAAGUGCACUUCUGUUCAAACAUACCUUGGCGCUGAUUGGCUAAUCUAAACCAUGUUGCAUUCCUAAGUAUUCCUUUGAGAACUGAACAAGGAAGGGAUGUCUAGAGGUCAGAGACUUAGCUCCAAAACGCCAAUUCUCGAGUAGAAAGGAAUUAGGGGCGAGCGUGAAAUGCGCCAGGAAUAAAGACCAAAAACCCGUU